CUUUCUGCUUCCUGGAAUCCAGGCUGGCUUGGUGACUUGCCGACCACAGAACGCUGUGGAAGGGACAUUCUGGGGCUUCCCAUCUCCAACAUAAGAAGGCAGGACUUGCUUCUGUGAGGUACUGAGCCACCCGUCCCUGGAGGAAAGCAAGAACAGAGCAGAUCAGAGCCCAGGCAGACAUCUUGGAUGAUGGGUGAGAUCUUCCUGGGGUUCUUGCUGUACCUGCUGACAAGGGGCAGCUCUCUCUAAAUGCCACGGAGCUGGAAGGCUGCAGCCUGGAACUUGCUGCAGCCCACCCAG
rnacentral:lncRNA from 10 species